rnacentral:lncRNA from 1 species
UUUUUUCUCUUUUUUUUUUUUUUUCUUUUUUUUUUUUCCCCCUCAAAGAUUCUUUCAAAGGAGUAUGGGAAGUACUUGGAUGAGUUUGUCUCUAAGACCCGACUGGUGGACCUGGGAGAUGAGAGAAGCUUCCGGAGAGGCAGUGCUGAGAAGCCCGAGCCCCGCAGCCUGGGAUCACCGCCAGGACCGCAGCAGGAGGGUUUUGAGUUGGAGCUUCAGAGGCUACAGGCGAACUCGUGAGCACGGCCCGCGGGUUCUUCCCCAUCGUGGGUGGAGGCCUCAUUGCUGGGCGCCCUGCCCCGGCCCCCCCACCUCCCGCGGCAGCCACCCAACCCCUACCCAGGCACACCUGCGCCAACGCAAUGGAACUUAAUUUUUGGUCAAAUUUGUUUUAAGCUUUUUGUCACCAAUAAAACAUGAACAAACGGUC